rnacentral:rRNA from 1 species
AGAGUUUUGAUUCUGGCUCAGAUUGAAACGCUGGCGGCAGGCCUAACACAUGCAAGUCGAACGGUAACAGGAAGCAGCUUGCUGCUUCGCUGACGAGUGGCGGACGGGUGAGUAAUGUCUGGGAAACUGCCUGAUGGAGGGGGAUAACUACUGGAAACGGUAGCUAAUACCGCAUAACGUCGCAAGACCAAAGAGGGGGACCUUCGGGCCUCUUGCCAUCAGAUGUGCCCAGAUGGGAUUAGCUAGUAGGUGGGGUAACGGCUCACCUAGGCGACGAUCCCUAGCUGGUCUGAGAGGAUGACCAGCCACACUGGAACUGAGACACGGUCCAGACUCCUACGGGAGGCAGCAGUGGGGAAUAUUGCACAAUGGGCGCAAGCCUGAUGCAGCCAUGCCGCGUGUAUGAAGAAGGCCUUCGGGUUGUAAAGUACUUUCAGCGGGGAGGAAGGCGAUGUGGUUAAUAACCGCGUCGAUUGACGUUACCCGCAGAAGAAGCACCGGCUAACUCCGUGCCAGCAGCCGCGGUAAUACGGAGGGUGCAAGCGUUAAUCGGAAUUACUGGGCGUAAAGCGCACGCAGGCGGUCUGUCAAGUCGGAUGUGAAAUCCCCGGGCUCAACCUGGGAACUGCAUCCGAAACUGGCAGGCUUGAGUCUCGUAGAGGGGGGUAGAAUUCCAGGUGUAGCGGUGAUUUUCUAGAGAUCUGGAGGAAUACCGGUGGCGAAGGCGGCCCCCUGGACGAAGACUGACGCUCAGGUGCGAAAG